UACGGGGGGGGCAAGCGUUGUUCGGAAUUACUGGGCGUAAAGGGCUCGUAGGCGGCCAACUAAGUCAGACGUGAAAUCCCUCGGCUUAACCGGGGAACUGCGUCUGAUACUGGAUGGCUUGAGUGUGGGAGAGGAAUGCGGAAUUCCAGGUGUAGCGGUGAAAUGCGUAGAUAUCUGGAGGAACACCGGUGGCGAAGGCGGGUCUCUGGGCCGAUACUGACGCUGAGGAGCGAAAGCGUGGGGAGCGAACAGG
rnacentral:rRNA from 1 species